AGGGAAAGAUUGAGGUAGGCCUAACACAUGCAAGUCGAACGGCAGCACAGUAAGAGCUUGCUCUUACGGGUGGCGAGUGGCGGACGGGUGAGGAAUACAUCGGAAUCUACUUUUUCGUGGGGGAUAACGUAGGGAAACUUACGCUAAUACCGCAUACGACCUACGGGUGAAAGCAGGGGAUCUUCGGACCUUGCGCGAUUGAAUGAGCCGAUGUCGGAUUAGCUAGUUGGCGGGGUAAAGGCCCACCAAGGCGACGAUCCGUAGCUGGUCUGAGAGGAUGAUCAGCCACACUGGAACUGAGACACGGUCCAGACUCCUACGGGAGGCAGCAGUGGGGAAUAUUGGACAAUGGGCGCAAGCCUGAUCCAGCCAUACCGCGUGGGUGAAGAAGGCCUUCGGGUUGUAAAGCCCUUUUGUUGGGAAAGAAAAGCAGCAGGUUAAUACCCCGCUGUUCUGACGGUACCCAAAGAAUAAGCACCGGCUAACUUCGUG
rnacentral:rRNA from 1 species